UGGGGAAUUUUGGACAAUGGGCGAAAGCCUGAUCCAGCAAUGCCGCGUGUGUGAAGAAGGCCUUCGGGUUGUAAAGCACUUUUGUCCGGAAAGAAAUCCUUGGCUCUAAUACAGUCGGGGGAUGACGGUACCGGAAGAAUAAGCACCGGCUAACUACGUGCCAGCAGCCGCGGUAAUACGUAGGGUGCAAGCGUUAAUCGGAAUACUGGGCGUAAAGCGUGCGCAGGCGGUUUGCUAAGACCGAUGUGAAAUCCCCGGGCUCAACCUGGGAACUGCAUUGGUGACUGGCAGGCUAGAGUAUGGCAGAGGGGGGUAGAAUUCCACGUGUAGCAGUGAAAUGCGUAGAGAUGUGGAGGAAUACCGAUGGCGAAGGCAGCCCCCUGGGCCAAUACUGACGCUCAUGCACGAAAGCGUGGGGAGCAAACAGGAUUAGAUACCCUGGUAGUCCACGCCCUAAACCUAAUGUCACUAGUUGUUGGGGAUUGCAUUUCCUUAGUAACGUAGCUAACGCGUGAAGUUGACCGCCUGGGGAGUACGGUCGCAAGAUU
rnacentral:rRNA from 1 species